GCUUGUUAAAAUGCAGAUCCCCUGGCCCUCGGUGGGCAGGGCUCAAGCUGCUGCCUUUAAAGGAAUCUCACACCGCUGGGCAGGCAGUUUCUCUCCGGAACACAAACCUUUCUCUGUCAUUCUGCCUCCUUCUGGCUCUAAAAUUCUCCGCUCACUGAAAGUCCCCCAUCCUUUUCAGUCAUCUCUUCCCGGAUCUCUGCAGCCUCCAAUCCCCUCCCCGAGCUAAUCUCACCUUCUCAAUGAGCUAAUCCCACCGUCUAGAUGAGCUAAUCCCACCUUCUCGGUGUCACCAUGUCACUGUUUACCCUCUCCAGGGGCCUUUAGGUCAAGCUGGGGGAAAUGAGUCAUCCCCUCCAGUGGGGGAGGGGGCUUCAAGUCCAUAAAUGGGCAAAAGCUCUGAUUUCAGCUUUCUGUCCUCAGGAAAGGACCAGUCUCUCCCCUCCAUCAUCCUCCUCCCCCCUCCCCAGAGGAAUUCCCCAGAGACAAGGAAGGCGUGGGGUGGGGAGGCUGGUGUUGACCAAUGGAAUUCGAGAAAUAGUCCAGCUUUUUAGGGAGAUAGGUUCCAGUUUGACUCAGCUUCCCUGAUAAACAGACGCUGCCGGCCAGGAUUUUCCCAGCCCACGAGGCCAAAGGCCCAUUUCCGGGUGGAAGUGUUCAGCUCUGCCUUUGGAGUUGAGGGCCCAGCCAGCACCACCCCUCCCUACACAUCCCUGCUUUCUCCUCAUGACCAGAAUGCCAGGCUGCACUGACCGGGGCUGGGGGGUGGGGGGGAGUGGGCUCUGCACUGCGAGGCCUCUGGACUCAGUUACUGUCUCGGGAUUGGCCACACUCCCCACCUGGAAGCUGGGGGGAGAGGGUGCCAUGACCUUUCACAGCUCCCCGUCGGACGCUGCAUCACCCUCCUCGCUUGGCCUGCAGUGUCUCUCAGGCUUCCUGACCCCCGCCUGUGAUCACCGCUGUGUCCGCCAAGCAGGUGCCGUGGAAAAUACAGAAGCAAUAAAGGGAUGGUCCCCUCCCUGAAGGAAUUCCUAUAUGACGAAGUUGAAGCCAUAAAGGGACACCUACGGGGUGAUGAGAGAGACAGCCGGAGAGAGAGGGAACACAGCAGGGGGAGUGGGAGAGGAAGAAGCAG